UUGGGCUAGGGUCCUUCCACAAAAUUGCGGUGCUCCUUGGUGCCCACACCCAUAUCUCAAACUUGUCAUCAUCAAAUCGUUAUCGGAAAGAGUCAAAAUGUGGACGGCCGACAAGAAUUUUCCGUCGAGGGGCUUCUCAAUGCCACCUCCGACGUGGAAGUGGAAGUGGAAGCGGACGUCGCCGAUGAUGCCGGCGUAGGAGAAAAAGCCUCGGGCCAAAGCUAAUCUUUUUCAUGCCAUUCAAAAGGUGCCCGCCGGGCGAUUGUCCGUACGUCCGGGCCAAACAUGCUCAGGUAAUAGAAUAUUCAGGUCUGUAAUUCGAGUUACAUUAAUGGGUUGUUAUUGGUUUUUUUAGGUCGGUUUGGGAAUCUCAUGUAAGUAACAAUGAGGUCUUUGUGUUUUCCAAGAAUUUCAGUUUCUUUUGUUCUCUUGUUCUAUAGAUGGUUGAAUGUUUUUCAUCUAUGAUUUCUUAUGCUCAAAAUUUGUUGGGUAAAGUCUACUUCUACCUAUUCUUGUACAAAAUUAAUUUCCUGAAAAUUUAUGUUUUUUUGAGCCUUUGAAUUGGAAAUAUAUGUAAAACACCUUGAAUAUUCUAUCAAAGUUUGCUGAUUUUUAGUCCAUAUAGGUUGACCCUUUACACUUUAUUGUUAAUGAUUGAUUGAAUUCAUCAUUUUUUUGCAUUGUUGUACUUGUUUAAGAGGAGUUGUUCUUCAACACUUCUUUAUUGCAGUUGAAAGGAGUUGUUCUUCAACACUUCUAUAGUUUUCUGGUAAAGGAAGAACUUUCUAAUUUUCUUCAAUUGUAUUUUAAGAGAGUUGAAUCUUCCAUUUUACUGUUGGUUUAACCAUUUAGAUAUUUUUGCUCAAAUAUGAGUGAAUUAAUCGUUCUCCACUUUUGUUUAUACUUUUGGGUUGUGUACUAUUACAUUUUCGAGAAUAGUUAUAGAACCUUUGUGUUAAAGGAUUAAAUUACUCCAAAUUUUUUUAUGGAAGAUUUACCUAUUCUUCAGCCAAAACAUGACGGACUGAUUAUUCCUCUAUUUCUUCAUGUUUACGUGCAUGGUUUCGAGUCUUAAAUUUUUAAAUAACAGUUGAUAAAAAAGGAUCAAAGUAGGGCUAUUUCCUUCUUCUGGGCUGGUAUAAAUUUUGGGGAUAGAGUUGAUAGUGCCUUGAAAGACAUGGCAUUCGUGAUGAAACAAUUGAAUUGAGCCGAUGAGGCAAUAAAAUCUAUGCCUCCCAUGAAUCUCUUGACAACGUUCUUGUUGAACAUUACAAGGUGAACAAUAGUCCUACUGAAAACCCACAAAUGUACUUUGUUUUCCAUUUCCUGCAAAUUACUAGAUAUUUGUAUGUAUGAAUUUAGUAAUUUUUCUCUACAAGGCAAAGCAACAUUUCUUUUGAAAACCCAUAUAUGCAUUUUGUUUUCCGUUCUAUACAAAUUACUAUAUUGAUUAUUUAGUAUAUAGAUUAGCAACAAGUCUGGAUAUAAGAAUUUUAUUUUGUGUAUUUAUGCGGAUAUGUGAGUGAAUCAGUUAUUUUUCUCCUUGGAUAUAAGCUUUGUUAGCUAAAAUAUUUAUUGUUUAUCUUUUCUGAAUUUCCCUUUAUUCUCUGAUAAAGACUAUGGACCAUAGAUUUUCAAUUUUUCCAAUAUAAUGAAUAUUCUCCUGUUAUUGAAGGACAUGUUUGUGUGUCCCACAUGCAAUGUUUUUGUAGAGAUUUAGAAUUGAAGAACAUAUUGGAAUGCUUCAACUCAAACUAAAACACAUUUUAGGAGGUAUAGCUUUGGUGGGAAGGGGACAAAGACAGCUAGGUGGUCUCAAGGGAAGAAGAUCAUGUCACAAUUGAGCAGGAGUACUCAAGAAAAGCACCUUCUCUUGAGACGGAUAAGAACAAGGAGUGCAAUCUCGCAAUCUGCUUGAUGCACAUGAACAGGAUGACAGAAGCUAAAUUUUUGCUUCAAACCAUAAAAGCUUCAUCUGAAGAUGGAUGAAUGGAUGACUCAUAUGCUAAAUCAUAUGAGCGUGCUAUUUGGAUAUUCACUGAAUUAGAAUCACACUCCAGUGUGAAGCCCAUUGCUAGGGAAGGAGAGAGCCAUAAGGAAAUUCAAAGUCUUCCCACAUCCUUUAUUUGUUCUGACAAUGGAACUUCAAAAAUUGCACCAUAUGGAUCAAUAAAUGGUUCACAGUCUUCUCCAAAGACUUCGUUUGCAGAUAAAUUGAAAGGAUGUCACACUGGAAACCAAUAUGAAAGAAGGACAGCUGAUUUUGGCAGCAGAAGUAAGGACAACAAGAUUAAUAUGGAUGGAAGGGAAGUAGGUUCUACUGGCAAGAAUGUGUUUGCUUCUCCACUUGCCGCUAAGGAAAUUCCUAAUUUCAAUUUACACAACCUAGAUGUUCAUGGUUAUUCAAUAAUGGACGUCAGAGAAUGGCAUUGAUGGGAGAUGAUCCAGUUGGUGGCUGAAAUAAAAAUUAUCAUUUGAGCAAUCUACAACCACUGAAAAUAUGCAAUUACUGGCCAACCAAAAUCUUCAUGGACCAUUACCAGGUUCCACGAAUGGACUGUUGAAAGCAGUAUUGCAGAAUUUAAAAUGUUCUCAAGCAUCUACUAGUGAAGAUUGGAGAAAGUGGGUAUGGGGAACUUGUGCUGAAGUGAACAAUGAAUCUGUUCUACGGCCCACUGUUAUUGGAGACAAACUGGUGGGCAAAAGAAAUUGGCAACGAAAGAGAGUAAUUUGCCUACGGAAUCAGCAGUUGAUGUUAAUUAGAUGAGAGCAACGGAAGCUUCGUCUGAUGGAGAUUGGGAUCAGAGUUCCAAAAUUACUUUUGCACACUGUGUGGGGUUGAGAGAAACAGUUCAACUCCAGAGCCUAAGCCAGCCUACUAUGGGAAAUCUGGAACAACCCCAGGAAUUGUGUGUGUGUAGAAGUAAGAAGAGUUGAGCAGAUAUGGUUGAAGAAGAUGAAAAAAAGUUUUUAGUUGGAAAUUCUGAUUUUCCAGAAAGUACACGGGUUAACCACCUAUCUCAAUCAUUAUAUUCUUUCCAUAGUCCAAGCAAGUGUUCUGAUGAUAGUCAAACAUAUUAUCCACUAGACCAGAUUGAGAAUCUAAGCCAAAAGUUUAAAUCAUUCAAUAUGGAUAUUUGUGAGAGUGUUCAUGUGCAUAUUUUUGUAGUGAUGUGGAGAAACAGAUUGCAGGAUUUCAGGGAGAUAACUCCAGAUUUCUAUUAGACAGAAAAAAGAAAAUGCAAUUCUGUAACAAUUCAGUGAUUUUACCUGUUGUAGUUUGUUCUGAGUUCCGAUUCACUUGCCUAUUAACAGUUUACUUAUACCAACACUUACACAAGUUUGUUUUAUUUUGUACUCACUUGUACCAGAAUUUCGUCAAGUUGCUUGUACAAAAUUCAACUUCUACCUCAUGGAGCCUUGUCGCAGACAGCUACAUGAGCAUCCUUCUCAUCUUCAUUCUUGAAGCCAUUGCCACAAUGCUCGCAAAAGCAAUCUGCGUGAUGGACUGGACGAGAGUUGUUGUCCUUCUCAUGCCCUGCCUUUUCGAUACAAUGCUGCUUAAGUUUCAGGCUAGUGUAGAAGGAUGAAUCUUUUGACUGCUUCCUCAAAGAACAGGCAAUACAAUGGAAUGUCGGAGGAUUCUUGUAAGCAAGACCCUGCAGAUUAUAAAAUGUCAUCAACAGCAAAAGGACUAAGAAGAGAAGGAAGUGGUAUUUUUCAAAACUAGGAAACUUACCCUGGUGAAUGUCAUCCGAUGUGGUGCUCCUUCACGAGAAGCCUGCAGCAUAAAUGUGCUCAUUCAGGAAAUACUGUUACAGUCUUUUAUUGUAUAAAAAAAAAAUAAAAAAAUAAAAAUUGGGAAGAAGCUCUAAUUUGCAAAUUCAAUGAAAUCAGAGAAAUUCACUUCAUUUGAUAUCUUAUACUACUAUGCUUGGACAUACAAUGUCAGCACCCUAUACUUUGACACAAACAUCUCACCUAAAUUAUAGAACUGCACCCUACAUAUUUUGACACAAAGAGAGUAAAGAUGUCUCAUCUAAAUUAUAGAACUGCAGAACAAUUCAAAAGGUGCAACAUGCCAUUUAAGAAAAGCAAAAAAGUGCCCUCUCACACACACAGUUUCGGAAAUAAGAGGCAAUUUAUUAAUGGGACUUGA